rnacentral:rRNA from 1 species
CUACGGGUGGCAGCAGUGGGGAAUAUUGCACAAUGGGCGCAAGCCUGAUGCAGCCAUGCCGCGUGUAUGAAGAAGGCCUUCGGGUUGUAAAGUACUUUCAGCGGGGAGGAAGGGAGUAAAGUUAAUACCUUUGCUCAUUGACGUUACCCGCAGAAGAAGCACCGGCUGACUCCGUGCCAGCAGCCGCGGUAAUACGGAGGGUGCAAGCUUAAUCGGAAUUACUGAGCGUAAAGCGCACGCAGGCGGUUUGUUAAGUCAGAUGUGAAAUCCCCGGGCUCAACCUGGGAACUGCAUCUGAUACUGGCAAGCUUGAGUCUCGUAGAGGGGGGUAGAAUUCCAGGUGUAGCGGUGAAAUGCGUAGAGAUCUGGAGGAAUACCGGUGGCGAAGGCGGCCCCCUGGACGAAGACUGACGCUCAGGUGCGAAAGCGUGGGGAGCAAACAGGAUUAGAUACCCCAGUAGUC